UGGGGAAUAUUGGUCAAUGGGGGAAACCCUGAACCAGCAACGCCGCGUGAAGGAAGAAGGCCUUCGGGUUGUAAACUUCUUUGACAGGGGAAGAAAAAAAUGACGGUACCCUGAAAACAAGCCACGGCUAACUACGUGCCAGCAGCCGCGGUAAUACGUAGGUGGCAAGCGUUGUCCGGAUUUACUGGGUGUAAAGAGCACGUAGGCGGGACUGCAAGUCAGAUGUGAAAUUUAGAGGCUCAACCUCUAAACUGCAUUUGAAACUGUGGUUCUUGAGUGAUGGAGAGGCAGGCGGAAUUCCGAGUGUAGCGGUGAAAUGCGUAGAUAUUCGGAGGAACACCAGUGGCGAAGGCGGCCUGCUGGACAUUAACUGACGCUGAGGUGCGAAAGCGUGGGGAGCAAACA
rnacentral:rRNA from 1 species